AGAGGUGUGGCUCAGUGGUAGAGCAUCUGCUGAGUAAGCAGGAAGCCCUGAGUUCAAACCCUUGUCCUUCAA
rnacentral:tRNA from 1 species